rnacentral:rRNA from 1 species
UAAUACGUAGGGUGCAAGCGUUGUCCGGAAUUAUUGGGCGUAAAGAGCUCGUAGGCGGUUUGUUGCGUCGGCUGUGAAAUCCCGAGGCUCAACCUCGGGUCUGCAGUCGAUACGAGCAAACUAGAGUGUUGCAGGGGAGACUGGAAUUCCUGGUGUAGCGGUGAAAUGCGCAGAUAUCAGGAGGAACACCGGUGGCGAAGGCGGGUCUCUGGGCAACAACUGACGCUGAGGAGCGAAAGCGUGGGGAGCGAACAGGAUUAGAUACCCUGGUAGUCCACGCUGUAAACGUUGGGCGCUAGGUGUGGGGGGCCUCUCCGGUUCUCUGUGCCGCAGCUAACGCAUUAAGCGCCCCGCCUGGGGAGUACGGCCGCAAGGCUA